AUUGAACGCUGGCGGCAGGCUUUACACAUGCAAGUCGAACGAGUGGCGGACGGGUGAGUAAUGCUUGGGAAUCUGGCUUAUGGAGGGGGAUAACGACGGGAAACUGUCGCUAAUACCGCGUACCAUAGGAUGAGCCCAUGUGGGAUUAGGUAGUUGGUGGGGUAAAGGCCUACCAAGCCGACGAUCCGUAGCUGGUCUGAGAGGAUGACCAGCCACACCGGGACUGAGACACGGCCCGGACUCCUACGGGAGACAGCAGUGGGGAAUAUUGCGCAAUGGGGGCAACCUGACGCAGCCAUGCCGCGUGUAUGAAGAAGGCCUUCGGGUUGUAAAGUUCUUUCGGUGGCGAGGCGUUAUUCGCAGAAGAAGCACCGGCUAACUCCGUGCCAGCAGCCGCGGUAAUUC
rnacentral:rRNA from 1 species